AGUGAACGCUGGCGGUAGGCCUAACACAUGCAAGUCGAACGGCAGCACAGUAAGAGCUUGCUCUUACGGGUGGCGAGUGGCGGACGGGUGAGGAAUACAUCGGAAUCUACUUUUUCGUGGGGGAUAACGUAGGGUAACUUACGCUAAUACCGCAUACGACCUACGGGUGAAAGCAGGGGAUCUUCGGACCUUGCGCGAUUGAAUGAGCCGAUGUCGGAUUAGCUAGUUGGCGGGGUAAAGGCCCACCAAGGCGACGAUCCGUAGCUGGUCUGAGAGGAUGAUCAGCCACACUGGAACUGAGACACGGUCCAGACUCCUACGGGAGGCAGCAGUGGGGAAUAUUGGACAAUGGGCGCAAGCCUGAUCCAGCCAUACCGCGUGGGUGAAGAAGGCCUUCGGGUUGUAAAGCCCUUUUGUUGGGAAAGAAAAGCAGCAGGUUAAUACCCCGCUGUUCUGACGGUACCCAAAGAAUAGGCACCGGCUAACUUCGUG
rnacentral:rRNA from 1 species